CAACCGGAAAGCUUGCAAAUCUGGAAAGAAAGAUAAAAGAAAUUCAUAUCUCAUGUAAGAAAAUAUGUGACAAUUUCAGAUCAGAAAAAACCAUCGGAUUGUUCUUCAAUGAAUUGAGCGAAUCUACGGCGAAGCAAAUGGCUGGCCGACCUAACUUUUUGCGCCUAUUGCAUCCUGUAAGCCUGCAAAGACAAAUGCUUACACAAAAUUCACAGUGUUAUAUAGCACCAAAUGCUGAGAAUAUGGAGGAAUUGACAAAUUUUGAUCUUCAUUAACACUAUGGGUCACGACUACGAUGUUUUCACUUGAAUGACCCGGUCUAUCAAGCGUUGGUGUUGACACAUGAGGAAUCAAGCCAGUCGACUCAAAUUCUCAAUAGCAUUCUCAAAAGGACGAUUGUGUUGACCCAAUAUAUCGUAAAUUUUACAAAAUGUUACUUUUACCGAUAUAUCAUUGUCAUAGUUUAUUUUUAUUUUAAUGUGACUUUGAGCUAAAUUGAAUUCAUAGUAACAAUUUCCGAAGCUUCCAUUGCUGAUAAAAUGGAAUGU